GACGAACGCUGGCGGCGUGCUUAACACAUGCAAGUCGAACGGAAAGGCCCUGCUUUUGUGGGGUGCUCGAGUGGCGAACGGGUGCGUAACACGUGAGUAACCUGCCCUUGACUUUGGGAUAACUUCAGGAAACUGGGGCUAAUACCGGAUAGGAGCUCCCGCUGCAUGGUGGGGGUUGGAAAGUUUCGGCGGUUGGGGAUGGACUCGCGGCUUAUCAGCUUGUUGGUGGGGUAGUGGCUUACCAAGGCUGUGACGGGUAGCCGGCCUGAGAGGGUGACCGGCCACAUUGGGACUGAGAGACGGCCCAGACUCCUACGGGAGGCAGCAGUGGGGAAGAUUGCACGAUGGGCGGAAGCCUGAUGCAGCAACGCCGCGUGCGGGAUGACGGCCUUCGGGUUGUAAGCCGCUUUCGCCUGUGACGAAGCGUGAGGGACGGUAAUGGGUAAAGAAGCACCGGCUAACUACGUG
rnacentral:rRNA from 1 species